rnacentral:rRNA from 1 species
UACGGAGGGUGCAAGCAUUAAUCGGAUUUAUUGGGCGUAAAGGGCGUGUAGGCGGAAACGUAAGUCGGAUGUGAAAUUCCAGGGCUCAACCCUGGACCCGCAUUUGAAACUGCGUAUCUAGAGGAUAGGUGGGGAAAACGGAAUUCCACGUGUAGCGGUGAAAUGCGUAGAUAUGUGGAGGAACACCGGUGGCGAAGGCGGUUUUCUAACUUAUUCCUGACGCUGAGGCGCGAAAGCAAGGGGAGCAAACAGG